rnacentral:rRNA from 1 species
UGGGGAAUUUUUCGCAAUGGGCGCAAGCCUGACGAAGCAACGCCGCGUGGAGGAUGAAGGCCUUCGGGUUGUAAACUCCUGUCGACCGGGACGAAAGUAGUCCGACCUAAUACGUCGGGCUAUCGACUGUACCGGUGGAGGAAGCCACGGCUAACUCUGUGCCAGCAGCCGCGGUAAUACAGAGGUGGCAAGCGUUGUUCGGAAUUACUGGGCGUAAAGGGCGCGUAGGCGGUCUUGUAAGUCUUGUGUGAAAUCCCUCGGCUUAACUGAGGAACUGCACGGGAUACUGCAUGACUUGAGAUCGGGAGAGGGAAGCGGAAUUCCGGGUGUAGCGGUGAAAUGCGUAGAUAUCCGGAGGAACACCGGUGGCGAAGGCGGCUUCCUGGACCGACACUGACGCUGAGGCGCGAAAGCUAGGGGAGCAAACGGG